GAUAACCUGAAAUGCUCGAUAAAGUCUUGUUAUUUUGAACCUACAGAUACUUUAAACGGGAUUCCUACAUUGUCAUAUAGAUGUCAGGCCUCCAGCCUUUUUGGGCAUUGCGCAGUGGAAGACAGAAGUAUGGUUGCGGUUACCCACCUAGCGUUGCUAGGAGUCAAAAUACAAGAUACGGCAUUUUGGGGCAUAU
rnacentral:other from 1 species